UACGGGGGGGGGCAAGCGUUGUUCGGAAUUACUGGGCGUAAAGGGCGCGUAGGCGGCUUGGCAAGUGGAUGGUGAAAUCCCUCGGUUUAACCGAGGAACUGCCAUCCAGACUGCUUUGCUUGAGGCCGGGAGAGGUGAGUGGAAUUCCCAGUGUAGCGGUGAAAUGCGUAGAUAUUGGGAGGAACACCAGUGGCGAAGGCGACUCACUGGACACAUAUUGACGCUGAGGUGCGAAAGCGUGGGGAGCAAACAGG
rnacentral:rRNA from 1 species